ensembl:lncRNA uncharacterized LOC104148313
UGCCUUGUCAUCACUUCCGUUUUUUUCUUUUCCUGAGCCCUAUUUAGAGUUAGGAAAGAAAGCGAGUGAAACGGAUAGCCACACUGUCCUCCUCCCUGCGGAUAGGAAUGUAUUUCCUACUGAUCUUGUCUUUUCUAGGAGAAAUAACAGGUGAGACUUUCUUUUGCCAACAAGAACAUGGAAAUCUUAUACUUCAGUGCAAUCAGCCAGGUGCUAAAGAAAAUAAAAGAACAGACUGGUAUAAGACAGCAAGUGAUAUGCAACAACUGGAGUUAAUUAACUGCUCUUCCAAGUGUAAUCACUCAUGUUCAGAAAUGGCUUGCAAUGAUACCUUAGAGGUGACACACGCUUUGUCUGAUGAGGGGAUGUUUGCAUGUGGAGCAAUUUCAAGUGAUGAAGCACCGGUGACUUCCCUACUGUUCAGCAAUGUGUCUCACUGCAGGCACUAUAACUUCUUUCUUGUACAGACUAACACUGAAUCAGGGAAAAAGAGCUCAGGCAACGUUCAGAAAAAAUCACAAGUUCCUCUCAAAUUCAAAGAACAAGAAAACAUCACCCUGUCUUGUGAAUUUUACACUGAGUGCUCAGGACACUGUUUUUUUAUGUACUGGAUCAGAGUCAGUAAAACAAGCGAAUGCCUUUUUUCUGCUGCGAAUGAAGACCUGGCCUCAAGCUUGACUUUUAAUGAGCACUGCUGUGUUGAUCGAGACAUCCAGGAACGACUGUUGAACCAUACAAACUUCAAUUCUCCUCACAAAAAACAUAACAUGACUAUUCUGAACGUCACUAGUUCUGACAGCGGGCAAUAUUUAUGCAUUGUUGCUGCCUGGCAGAAUGGUAAAUUUGAGUGGCAAGUUCCUAAUAACCAGUCUGUGGAUGUUCAGAAAGACAAAGCGGCAUCUGUGCAGUGGCAUAUCAUCUCUGGAGCUGUACUUGGGAUUAUUUUUCUCAGUGUGGCAGCAGGGCUGAUCUAUCUGAAGAUGUUCAGAUCAAAAGGGAAGAAAACAACCACAGAAUUUACCAGAGAUCGUGAUGCCACUGGAAAGACAGAAAAUGAAUGUACUCCAUAUGCAGUAAGUGGUAGCAGUGACACGUACAGAAACGAGAGCCUUUACUGCCUCGUAACGAGGACUUGCCCAGAGCCAAACGAGACCUCUCCUAGCUCAGAUAACAACAGGGCUCUGGGCAGGACGGGAGCAGAUAUACAUACAGUCUACGCGCUGCUGAAUAAAUAACUGUUUCAGCUACCUCGGGAUGUGAAGGUGAAAGCGUUACUUCUUGCAAAUUACACUGCAGUCUGAGUGCCAUGCUGGCUAGACAUAUUAGCUUUAUUACUAUAAUGUCUAUAUACCCAUGGAUCAAUACACUCCAAGUACAGAAGUUGCCCAGUAAGAAGUUUCUGACUAUAGCAAUCACUUCUUGCUUUCUGGUACUUCCAUACCAAGAAAACUAUGAGUUAUAGGUUUUAUUUCUGUCCAAAAAAACCUUGCGAAACAGUGUGACUCAUUUUCUGCAAGCCUCACACCAGCAACGCCUAUGCGGAAGGCAGUGCCCACCUUCAAACUCGUGCAGAGAAUGAGGAAGCCAGAGGAGCUGCCGCGCUAGCCCCUCCUGGGGCGCAGGCCGCAAGGCAAGAGGAGGAUGGGGAGAAGGGGCCCCUGCCACCCCUGUCUGGGCGGCGCGAGCGCAAGGUCCCUCAGCGGUUUGCCUCCUUGUUAAGCUGCAUCCAAUAUUUUGGCACGCGACGUUUGUGGCAGUACACUUUUUUAAAAAAGUAUUUGCGAAUUCUGGCAGAUUUCAGCAGCCAGGGUUCCCUAAAAUUACUUUCUGGGGAAGUCAUAGUAUUUUAUUUUGACAUAUAUGAAGCAAAUGUUUCUGAUUUUCAGCUUAUAAAUUAAAUUGUUUCAAGUUUGACUUAGAUUUUUUCUUUCUUUAAAGAUAUAUUACCCCCUUGAUAAUAUGACAUUUUUAGAUGGGCCUGAAGUGAGAUUCCAAAUGAGUUUCACAAAAUACUGAAUAAACUUUAGAUGUAGAUAAAUUUUUUUCUCUGC